rnacentral:rRNA from 1 species
UGGGGAAUAUUGCACAAUGGGGGAAACCCUGAUGCAGCGACGCCGCGUGAACGAAGAAGGUAUUCGUAUCGUAAAGUUCUGUCCUAUGGGAAGAUAAUGACAGUACCAUAGAAGAAAGCUCCGGCUAAAUACGUGCCAGCAGCCGCGGUAAUACGUAUGGAGCGAGCGUUGUUCGGAAUUAUUGGGCGUAAAGGGUACGCAGGCGGUUUAAUAAGUCGAAUGUUAAAGAUCGGGGCUCAACCCCGCAAAGCAUUGGAAACUGAUAAACUUGAGUAGUGGAGAGGAAAGUGGAAUUCCUAGUGUAGUGGUGAAAUACGUAGAUAUUAGGAGGAAUACCAGUAGCGAAGGCGACUUUCUGGACACAAACUGACGCUGAGGUACGAAAGCGUGGGGAGCAAACAGG